UCCAGGCCUAGGAUUCAGUGAUUCAUGAAAUCAUGAAGCAAGGUGGGAGGACCCAGUUUGUCCUUUACUUACAUUUAUGCUCUCAUCUUUUAAAGGAGCCACAAAAAUGAGACUGCUUCCUGUAAAUAUAAUAUGUUAAUAUUUUUUUCUACAACUGAGACAUAAUCCAAGUACUUUCUAAGAAGAGAGAGAGUCUGCUGUUCUCUUACCUUUCUUCUCAGACUUGAAUAAGCCGACUGAGGAAAAUAGAGUAGAAAGAAGAACCUGUCAGCAUAUUGUCAGCACAGGAGAAAAAGCACACAAUCCAACUGAAGAGUGAAAGAUGCAGACUUCAGGACAUCAAAGCUUCAGUGAGAAACAUAAUAGUAUAGAUUUGAGGUCCCCUAGCUCCUGAGGAAACAAAAAUGAUUAAUGGAAUUACUGUGGUCUGUGAUCAGUGAAGAUGUCUAUUGAGAAAAAUAAUCAGGAUUGGCACCACAACAUCAGA
rnacentral:lncRNA from 1 species